rnacentral:rRNA from 1 species
AACGCUGGCGGCGUGUUCACACAUGCAAGACGAACGAACCUUCGGGUUAGUGGCGGACGGGUGAGUAACGCGUGUCACUCUGCCCUCAGGAGGGGGAUAACGGUUGGAAACGACCGCUAAUACCCCAUAUGCCGAGAGGUGAAAAGAAAUUCGCCUGAGGAUGAGCUCGCGUCUGAUUAGCUAGUUGGUGUGGUAAUGGCGCACCAAGGCUUCGAUCAGUAGCUGGUCUGAGAGGAUGAUCAGCCACACUGGGACUGAGACACGGCCCAGACUCCUACGGGAGGCAGCAGUG